CGCGUAGGUGGUAGUGUAAGUCUGGGGUGGAAUCCCAGGGCUUAGCCCUGGAACUGCCUUGGAAACUGUAUUACUUGAGUCAGUGAGGGGAGGGUAGAAUUCCUGGUGUAGCGGUGAAAUGCGUAGAUAUCAGGAGGAAGGCCUGUGGCGAAGGCGGCCCUCUGGCGCUGGACUGACACUGAGGCGCGAAAGCGUGGGGAGCAAACAGGAUUAGAUACCCUGGUAGUCCACGCCCUAAACGGUGGGCACUAGGUGUAGGGCUCGUAAGGGUUCUGUGCCGAAGGGAAACCAUUAAGUGCCCCGCCUGGGGAGUACGGCCGCAAGGUUGAA
rnacentral:rRNA from 1 species